GACGAACGCUGGCGGCGUGCUUAACACAUGCAAGUCGAGCGAGAAACCUUCGGGUUUCUAGCGGCGGACGGGUGAGUAACACGUGGGUAACCUGCCUCAAAGAGGGGGAUAGCCUUCCGAAAGGAAGAUUAAUACCGCAUAAUAUUACAGUUUCGCAUGAAGCAGUAAUUAACGGAGUAAUCCGCUUUGAGAUGGACCCGGGGCGCAUUAGCUAGUUGGCGAGGUAACGGCUCACCAAGGCAACGAUGUGUAGCCGAUCUGAGAGGGUGAUCGGCCACAUUGGAACUGAGACACGGUUCAGACUCCUACGGGAGGCAGCAGUGGGGAAUAUUGCACAAUGGGCGAAAGCCUGAUGCAGCAACGCCGCGUGAGUGAUGAAGGUCUUCGGAUUGUAAAGCUCUGUCAUUUGGGACGAUAAUGACGGUACCAAAGGAGGAAGCCACGGCUAACUACGUGCCAGCAGCCGCAGUAA
rnacentral:rRNA from 1 species